CUGUCAAAGCCCCCUGACUGGUGUGGGACACGUUAGCCCAAAUGACCUGCCUGGGGCACUGCAGCUUGUCUGGCCACUCUGGCCAUGGGGCAGGCGCCAGGACGACCUGCAGUACAGACACAAAGCAAAGGCGGGUCACUAAUGCGCAGACGCCAAGCAUCUUCCUUGUCAUGGCCAGACUGCAGCGGCUGGGCGAGGGGCCUGAUGAAGGUUGACUGAUGCCAGUAGCCAUCUGACUGCCAAUUAUUUCACGGUGGUGAUUCGACUGAAUAAUCGCUGCCCUUGGACAGGGAGUGUUACUAGACUUAGAUAUAAUGAUUAAUUAUCCUCUCUUAAUAAACCAGUAAAACUACA